rnacentral:rRNA from 1 species
GCUUAGAGUUUGAUCCUGGCUCAGAAUAAACGUUGGCGGCGUGCUUAACACAUGCAAGUCGAGCGAGAAAGCUCCUUCGGGAGUGAGUAAAGCGGCGGACGGGUGCGUAACACGUGAGUAUCUCCCUAUUAGUGAAGAAUACCCUCGAGAAAUCGAGGCUAAUACUGCAUACGUUCCUUCGGGAAGAAAGGUGGCUUUAUGCUGCCGCUAAUAGAUGAGCUUGCGGACUAUCAGCUUGUUGGUGGGGUAAAGGCUCACCAAGGCUAUGACGGUUAGCCGGCCUGAGAGGGUGUACGGCCACAUUGGGACUGAGACACGGCCCAGACUCCUACGGGAGGCAGCAGUGAGGAAUAUUGCGCAAUGGACGAAAGUCUGACGCAGCGACGCCGCGUGGAGGAUGAAGGUUUUCGGAUCGUAAACUCCUGUUAAGAGGGAAGAAAACUCAAGCUCUAACAUAGCUUGAGCAUGACGGUACCUCUAGAGAAAGCACUGGCUAACUUCGUGCCAGCAGCCGCGGUAAUACGAGGGGUGCAAACGUUAUUCGGAUUAACUGGGCGUAAAGGGUGCGUAGACGGCACAUUAAGUUCGUUGUUAAAUCUUCCGGCCUAACCGGAAGCUUGCGAUGAAAACUAGUAUGCUAGAGGAUGGAAGAGAGAAGUGGAAUUCUUGGAGUAGCGGUAAAAUGCGUAGAUCUCAAGAGGAACACCGAUGGCGAAGGCAGCUUCUUGGUCCAAUCC